rnacentral:tRNA from 2 species
GGUGAGAUGUCCGAGAGGAUUAAGGAGCGCGCCUGGAAAGUGCGUAUACGUUAAACCGUAUCAAGGGUUCGAAUCCCUUUCUCACCG